GACGAACGCUGGCGGCGUGCUUAACACAUGCAAGUCGAACGGAAAGGCCCUGCUUUUGUGGGUUGCUCGAGUGGCGAACGGGUGAGUAACACGUGAGUAACCUGCCCUUGACUUUGGGAUAACUUCAGGAAACUGGGGGUAAUACCGGAUAAGAGCUCCUGCUGCAUGUUGGGGGUUGGAAAGUUUCGGCGGUUGGGGAUGGACUCGCGGCUUAUCUGCUUGUUGGUGCGGUAGUGGCUUACCAAGGCCUUGACGGGUGGCCUGCCUGAGAGGGUGACCAGCCACAUUGGGACUGAGAUACGGCCCAGACUCCAACGGGAGGCAACAGUGGGGAAUAUUACGCAAUGAGCGGAAGCCUGAUGCGGCAGCGCCGCGUGCGGGAUGACGGCCUUCGGGUUGUGAACCGCUUUCGCCUGUGACGAAGCGUGAGUGACGGUAAUGGGUAAAGAAGCACCGGCUAACUACGUG
rnacentral:rRNA from 1 species